GGUGGUACAGCUCAAGUGGUAGAGUGUGUGCUUAGCAUGCACGAGGUCCUGGGUUUGAGCCCCAGUACCUCCA
rnacentral:tRNA from 1 species